AUGACCAGUGUUUUAGACUGGGAAAAGGACCUUAAAACAGGUGGAUCCUGGUUUGUUUUUUUAAGCUUGUGUUUUGCUGCUCUUCGGCUAUUUUCAGGUUUGUGGGUCGUUUCAAAUCUCGCAAGGAGCGGGAGGCUGAGCUAGGUGCAAAAGCCAAGGAGUUUACCAAUGUCUACAUCAAGAACUUUGGGGAUGAUAUGGAUGACGAUCGACUGAAGGAGCUUUUUGACAAAUAUGGUAAAACACUCAGUGUAAAAGUAAUGACAGACCCCACUGGCAAAUCCAGGGGCUUUGGAUUUGUUAGUUAUGAAAAGCAUGAGGACGCUAACAAGGCUGUAGAGGACAUGAAUGGCACUGAACUCAAUGGUAAGACUGUGUUUGUGGGCCGGGCUCAGAAGAAGAUGG